ncrna:unclassified sequences Rhodo-rpoB RNA
GUUUCGGGCGAGGGAUCUUUGGGAGGUCUCUCUGGUAUGGAAGCGGAAACUGUUCCGAUCUGGCACUGCUCCGGACGCCCAAACCGGUGGCCGU